GGCCGACUACCGGUGCCAGUGUCCUUUCAAUCGUUGGCUUAUAGCGCCAAUCGUUUUGACGAGUGCUUGCAUGCUGCUACCAGUAACACUGGAAGUUGCAUUUCUAAAUGAUGGUUUUGCCGUGCAUGCCCUCAGGGCAUGACACGUCAACUAUAAAGCGUUCAUGGCGUUGCCUCGUGCAGCAGGCCUCAUAGGCUAGCGGCAUCAAGGCCACCUCAUGGUUGCUAUCGGUCUCGGAUGUGGCUAACUCUAAAGGCUGAAGGUGCUUUGGCACCUCAUGCCUACAAGUUAGUCCGGUUGGAAACAACGACAGUUGGCCUGGCUGAUGCCUCGUGCAGAAGCUAGUGCU
rnacentral:misc_RNA from 1 species